AGAGUUUGAUCCUGGCUCAGAUUGAACGCUGGCGGCAUGCCUUACACAUGCAAGUCGAACGGCAGCAUGGGUGCUUGCACCUGAUGGCGAGUGGCGAACGGGUGAGUAAUGCAUCGGAACGUACCCGGAAGUGGGGGAUAACGUAGCGAAAGUUACGCUAAUACCGCAUAUUCUGUGAGCAGGAAAGCGGGGGAUCGCAAGACCUCGCGCUUCCGGAGCGGCCGAUGUCGGAUUAGCUAGUUGGCGGGGUAAAGGCCCACCAAGGCAACGAUCCGUAGCGGGUCUGAGAGGAUGAUCCGCCACACUGGGACUGAGACACGGCCCAGACUCCUACGGGAGGCAGCAGUGGGGAAUUUUGGACAAUGGGGGCAACCCUGAUCCAGCCAUGCCGCGUGAGUGAAGAAGGCCUUCGGGUUGUAAAGCUCUUUCGGCUGGGAAGAAAUCGCAUCUCCUAAUACGGGGUGUGGAUGACGGUACCAGCAUAAGAAGCACCGGCUAACUACGUGCCAGCAGCCGCGGUAAUACGUAGGGUGCGAGCGUUAAUCGGAAUUACUGGGCGUAAAGCGUGCGCAGGCGGUUUCGUAAGACAGAGGUGAAAUCCCCGGGCUCAACCUGGGAACUGCCUUUGUGACUGCGAGGCUAGAGUAUGG
rnacentral:rRNA from 1 species